rnacentral:lncRNA from 1 species
AAUCUGUGUCAAAUGGUGAGAUGUCUGUCUUUAAAUACUGUGGACAAACAAAAGGGGCCUCAGAUGGAGGAAAUAGGCUGCCUCAUGAUGAGUUCAAUCAAGCAUGUAAUUAUGUGCUUGAAAAUUGUGAAGAGAUUUCACAGUACAGGGAGUAAUUCUAUUACUAGUUCAAAUAUAAUUUGACAUUAAUAUAAUUCAGUUAAUCUUAACUAACACAAAUUUUAGGGAAUACAUGAGACAAAUUGAAGUAGAAGGUUCAAUGCGUGCUCAUCAAGUGCAUAAA